CACACACAUAGACCUACUGACAGACACACAGACCUACUGACAGACACACACAUAGACAUACUGACACACACCCAGACAGACAUACUGACACACACCUAGACAGACAUACUGGCAUACACCCAGACAGACAUACUGGCAUACACAGACACAUACUGACACACACACACAGACAUAGUGGCACACACAGACAGACAUAGUGGCACACCCAGGUAGACAUACU